GUAGCCUUGCGCACUUGAGGUUCUCGACCUUGUGCAAAAGGUCGGGCUAAGACGGGAAUGCGGUUCAAGCCGCAGCUGCCCCCGCAACUGUAAACGGUGAUUUCAUUGCAUGGCCACUGCGCGAGCGGGAAGGCGCGAUGAAUGCCUGUCCUGCCGACACGCCGCCGUAAGCCAGGAGACCUGCCUCGAACCGGGCCACAGG
rnacentral:ncRNA from 2 species